rnacentral:rRNA from 1 species
CAAUAGCGUAUAUUAAAGUUGUUGCAGUUAAAAAGCUCGUAGUUGGAUCUCAGGUGCAGGCGGACGGUCCGGCUCGCGCCGGUUCACUGUCCGUAUUUCCUGCCCUACUGGUUGGUCGGCUCUCUCCCGCGGGUGCUCUUCGCUGAGCGUCCCGGGUGGCCGACACGUUUACUUUGAAAAAAUUAGAGUGUUCAAAGCAGGCCUCGGAGCCUGAAUAAUGGUGCAUGGAAUAAUGGAAUAGGACCUCGGUUCUAUUUUGUUGGUUUUCGGAACUGGAGGUAAUGAUUAACAGGGACAAACGGGGGCAUUCGUAUUGCGGCGUUAGAGGUGAAAUUCUUGGAUCGCCGCAAGACGAGCUACUGCGAAAGCAUUUGUCAAGAAUGUUUUCAUUAAUCAAGAACGAAAGUCAGAGGCGCGAAGACGAUCAGAUACCGUCGUAGUUCUGACCAUAAACGAUGCCGACUAGCGAUCCGCAGGAGUUGCUUCGAUGACUCUGCGGGCAGCUUCCGGGAAACCAAAGUCUUUGGGUUCCGGGGGAAGUAUGGUUGCAAAGCUGAAACUUAAAGGAAUUGACGGAAGG